GAGGCCGCGACGUGGAAAGCUGGGUGCGAGAGGCUGACGCGAAAGUGCGCGAGCAAGUUAAAUUGCCGGAAGGAUACACGCUCGAAUUUGGUGGACAGUUCGAAAAUCUUCGCGAAGCCAAAACGCGACUGGCGCUUGUUGUGCCCGCGGCGCUUGUGUUCAUCUUCGUCCUGAUCUUCAUGGCGUUCGGCAGUGUGCGCCAGGCGCUGCUUGUGUAUUCCGGCGUUCCCUUGGCUGUGACAGGAGGCGUUUUUGCCCUGUGGCUGCGGGAUAUGCCAUUCAGCAUUUCCGCGGCGGUAGGUUUCAUCGCGUUGAGCGGAGUCGCCGUGCUCAACGGAGUCGUAAUGAUCAGCUAUUUCAAUCAACUGCGCGAGGAGGGUCGUGAUGUUCGCACUGCUGUGAUCGAAGGAUCCCUUACACGGUUGCGUCCGGUGCUCAUGACCGCAGCCGUCGCAGCGUUCGGUUUUAUUCCGAUGGCGCUGUCGACAAGCGCAGGCGCGGAGGUGCAACGGCCGCUGGCGACAGUCGUCAUUGGCGGCAUUAUUAGUU
rnacentral:misc_RNA from 1 species